rnacentral:lncRNA from 1 species
UGCUUGGCAGGAAUCUUCUGGAGAGGCAUGAAGCACUACUUUAAUUCCCAAGGAUGCCGCUUGGUCCUCAGAAUGGAAAAUGUUCUAUUUUUGGCCACCAGAAUAUUUCCGAGGGGAGAAAAAAAAUCGAACAAAGCACGGCAGCAUGGGUGUACGUUUUCGGAGUUUGAAGAAGUUUUAAGAGUUCAAGACACCUUUCCAGGAAACAGCUCUUGCUGCCACGCCCCCGCUGGCCGCCGUGUGACAUCCUCGCUUCGAGGGACCCGAAGGGCAGACCAGCAUUAGUCGAGCAGUAACGCCUGGGGGACUAGGACCCGGCCUUGGACACAUCUCGGCGCGGGAGGCGCGGCUGGGCCCAGGGGCUCAUGGGAGAAUCUUGAAGGGGCCGGGGCGUUUUGCAGAAGUGGCGGGCGUGCCUGGGAAGAGCCAUCACAGAACUCGUGGAGCCGAAAGCCCCUGGAAGCAGAGCUGUGCCCUCCGGCUCCGACCUGCCGGUAGAGGGGACCCAAGUUAGCCGAUGCCCUGAAGCGAGCGGGGUGGCCCGGGCCCUUCCCUCCCCGCCCCGCCCCGCCGUUGAAAUGGCUUGAACUCCCGCUGGUGUUUCCAUCAUCCACUUCACGCCCAGGCCUCGGGUGCAGAGGCGGCCGUGGAUCUGGGUAACGUUGAAUCCUCGGUGGGAGGCUCUGAGAUGCCGUCUGCGGGCUCUCAGAGUUUUCGUCUUGGCUGCGGGCUUUCGAGAUGCGUUCGAGAUUGAGGAGCUGGCAUCGCGCUGGGUCAGACGUCCAUGCAGACGGUGCGGGGAACCUUUACUCGGAGCCAGCUGGAUUUCUCCUGCCUUCACACUCACUAAUUCAACACGCACGUCCCAAGCGCCCAGUCUGUGCCAGGCACGCAGGCGAACCCAAGUCUCUGCCGAUGUAGUGCUCGCGGUGGGCCGGGAGAGAACAACACACGCCUACGGUCACAUUCUGGAGGUUCCGGGCAGGCAAAGAAGGGGGUCCUGAGAGAUAGAAAAACGGCAGGCAUCCUUUAGAAGGGAUGGGUAAGGAUGACCAUCAUGGGAGGGAGAGAUUGAAGUUAAAAUCAAAGGAAGAAGCUAGUCACGUGAAGAAAGGGGGGUGAGGGUGAGCUUUUCUGGCAGAAGAAAGAGCAAGUGCAAAGGCCCUGAGGUCAGAAUGCUAAGCACGUCUGAAGAGGCUCACUUUGACGCCUGAGAUGAGCCGGGGCAAAGUGAGUGAGGGGGUGAAAGGCUUGAGGUGAACUUGGGGAGUUAGCCGUUGGGCUGGGUCGCAGAGCACCUUGUAGGGCCGGAAAGGGGCUUAAGUGUUAUCCUCGCCAGUGCUGGGAAGCCACGGGAGAGCUUGAAGCAGGGGCGUGAGAUGAUCUCCCUUCGGUUUUGACAGAACACCAGCCGCCAUGAGGUGAACGGCUGGAGACAACAGGAAAGACGGAAGCUUUAGAAGCCUCUGGCUGAUGUCCGCGCAGGAGGUGACGGUGGCCUCGCCUGGGGAAUGGCGGCAGCUCCUCCUGUCUGUGUUCAUUCUGGUCUCCUCCCGGGUCUUGCCCCACCACCGCUUCCUGAGGGGAAAGCUGGCCUUCCUUUACCAGCGCCUCAUGGGGGACAUGGCUUUAGACUUGUGCAAAGUGCUUUAAGUAAACCGCGCAUCUGGUUGUUGUGCAGAAGUUUCAGGAAGCUCCUCAGAGAGCCAGGUUCUUGGAUUCCCAGCCCAGGGCUCUCGCCUUCUCCACACCACUUGCCCCACUGAACUUUUGCUUUUAUACUAUCACUCCGGCUCACGCACUGAGUUAACAAAUAAUUUUCAGAAAGGUGAAAUUUUGACUUUCAGAGAAAUGUAACAGGAACACAGGCAACGAGUUUAUUUCACUCGCUGUUUGAUGAAGGAACCAGUAACAUGUUAUGACCUGUCCAAAAACUACCAAAGAAAUGAGGAUAUUUCCAGGCAAUUUAUUUAUUUAUUUAUUUAAAGUUUACUUACGUGUUUUGAGAGACAGAAAGUGAGCAGGGGAGGUGCAGACACAGAGAGGGGGAGACAGAGCCCCAAACAGGCUCCCUGCUGUCAGCACAGAGCCUGACACGGGGCUUGAUCCCACGGACUGCGAGAUCAUGACCUGAGCCGAAACCAAGAGUCGGAUGCUUGCCUGACUGAGCCACCCGGGUGCCCCUGUUUACAGGCAAUUUAAUAAAGAAAGGUAGGGAUAGGAUUUGAGUUACA